rnacentral:rRNA from 1 species
GGCUCAGAUUGAACGCUAGCGGCAUGCUUUACACAUGCAAGUCGAACGGUAACAGGCCUUCGGGUGCUGACGAGUGGCGAACGGGUGAGUAAUGCAUCGGAACGUGCCCAAUCGUGGGGAUAACGUAGCGAAAGUUACGCUAAUACCGCAUAAGCCCUGAGGGGGAAAGCAGGGGAUCGCAAGACCUUGCGCGAAUGGAGCGGCCGAUAUCAGAUUAGCUAGUUGGUGAGGUAAAGGCUCACCAAGGCGACGAUCUGUAGCGGGUCUGAGAGGAUGAUCCGCCACACUGGAACUGAGACACGGUCCAGACUCCUACGGGAGGCAGCAGUGGGGAAUUUUGGACAAUGGGCGCAAGCCUGAUCCAGCCAUGCCGCGUGAGUGAAGAAGGCCUUCGGGUUGUAAAGCUCUUUCGGCCGGGAAGAAAUCGCACAGGUUAAUACCCUGUGUGGAUGACGGUACCGGAAUAAGAAGCACCGGCUAACUACGUG